rnacentral:rRNA from 1 species
UUGUAAUUUGUAGAGGAUGUUUCUGGCGACGUGCCUUCCGAGUUCCCUGGAACGGGACGCCAUAGAGGGUGAGAGCCCCGUACGGUUGGAUGCCUAGCCUCUGUGAAACUCCUUCGAC